UCCGGUUUGGCACCGGCAGUCCUCCCAGAGUCCUCGACAUUACUCGUUAGCAACUGGGAGCGGGGGUUGCGCUCGUUGCGGGACUUAACCCAACAUCUCACGACACGAGCUGACGACAGCCAUGCACCACCUGUGAUGGCGUCCCGAAGGAAAGGUGUGUUUCCACACCGGUCACCAACAUGUCAAGCCCAGGUAAGGUUCUUCGCGUUGCGUCGAAUUAAACCACAUGCUCCGCUGCUUGUGCGGGUCCCCGUCAAUUCCUUUGAGUUUUAGCCUUGCGGCCGUACUCCCCAGGCGGGGUACUUAAUGCGUUAGCUGCGGCACGGAGGAAGGUGGGGAUGACUGGAACGGUUGGUU
rnacentral:misc_RNA from 1 species